CGGACGGGGCGAGCCCCCGUGUCCCUGCACCUGGCGAGCACUUUCUCAGAAGAGAGUCCCAUAAAGCCCCGGUGCUCAGUGCUCUCACACCGAGAGGGCGGCACACUUCCGAAGAGAAUGACUAAGACACCGUCAUCGUUACGAUGAACGGUAAUGAGGAAAAAAGCCUAUCACUCAGGAAUAACCACUGGUGACACUUUGCAUAGACGGUAUUUAACCAAUCCCCUACUGUAAGACUUCUACGUGGCUUCCACUCUUCCUGCCCAUCUCAACACCCACGGGCACACAUGCUGGCAGGCCCUUUAUCAUCCCCUGAGCAAACGUUCUCAGAGCAGAACUGCUGGACCUAGAUACCGGGUCCCCUCCUCAGUUACUUCACUUACGAGGGACCAACGAAACAACGUGUGCCUCGGGCGUCAUCGCUGCAGGUCCCGUGGCCCGGCCUGGCACGGCUAACGCAUGGCCCCGUGAGGGGCUCGCCUGACACCGAGGCCCAGGGGUGUCACCCGACUCGUCCGAAGCCUGAAACCCGGCACCGAGCUCCGCUGCUGGACCCCGACCCCCUCCUCCCGGUAGCCUUGGUUGUGA